UACGUAGGGUGCGAGCGUUAAUCGGAAUUACUGGGCGUAAAGCGUGCGCAGGCGGUUUUUUAAGCUUGAUGUGAAAUCCCCGGGCUUAACCUGGGAACUGCAUUGAGGACUGGAAGGCUAGAGUACGGCAGAGGGGGGUGGAAUUCCACGUGUAGCAGUGAAAUGCGUAGAGAUGUGGAGGAACACCGAUGGCGAAGGCAGAUCUCUGGGCCGUAACUGACGCUGAGGAGCGAAAGCAUGGGGAGCGAACAGG
rnacentral:rRNA from 1 species